rnacentral:lncRNA from 1 species
AAUCAGAGUUUGCUUUGAAAAUGCCUGAUGAGUAAAAGGAUGCUGAGUGCGGUCAAUUUUCCUCUCGCCUUCUCUGCCACUAACUCAGACGUGACUUCUGGCACUGCUUUAAGCAGUUGUAGCAGGAUGGCUGAUAAAAUUAUGGAAAUAGGGAAGAAUCUCAGAAAAGUGGAAAACUCAAUUGUCACCUUGACUAUGGAUGAAGAAGAAACUGAAGUUCGGGCUGAAAAAUGGGUGGAGUGUCCAAGAUGGGUGCCUUUAAAACAGCUCGUUCCACUGACAUGCUUUAAAGAGACAUAG